GAUGAACGCUGGCGGCGUGCCUAAUACAUGCAAGUCGAGCGAAUGGAUUAAGAGCUUGCUCUUAUGAAGUUAGCGGCGGACGGGUGAGUAACACGUGGGUAACCUGCCCAUAAGACUGGGAUAACUCCGGGAAACCGGGGCUAUUACCGGAUAACAUUUUGAACCGCAUGGUUCGAAAUUGAACGGCGGCUUCGGCUGUCACUUAUGGAUGGACCCGCGUCGCAUUAGCUAGUUGGUGAGGUAACGGCUCACCAAGGCAACGAUACGUAGCCGACCUGAGAGGGUGAUCGGCCACACUGGGACUGAGACACGGCCCAGACUCCUACGGGAGGCAGCAGUAGGGAAUCUUCCGCAAUGGACGAAAGUCUGACGGAGCAACGCCGCGUGAGUGAUGAAGGCUUUCGGGUCGUAAAACUCUGUUGUUAGGGAAGAACAAGUGCUAGUUGAAUAAGCUGGCACCUUGACGGUACCUAACCAGAAAGCCACGGCUAACUACGUGCCAGCCGCCGCGGUAA
rnacentral:rRNA from 1 species